AACGAACGCUGGCGGCAUGCCUAACACAUGCAAGUCGAACGAGACCUUCGGGUCUAGUGGCGCACGGGUGAGUAACGCGUGGGAACCUGCCCUUAGGUUCGGAAUAACUCCCCGAAAGGGGUGCUAAUACCGGAUAAUGUCUUCGGACCAAAGAUUUAUCGCCUUUGGAUGGGCCCGCGUUGGAUUAGCUAGUUGGUAGGGUAAAAGCCUACCAAGGCGACGAUCCAUAGCUGGUCUGAGAGGAUGAUCAGCCACACUGGGACUGAGACACGGCCCAGACUCCUACGGGAGGCAGCAGUGGGGAAUAUUGGACAAUGGGCGAAAGCCUGAUCCAGCGAUGCCGCGUGAGUGAUGAAGGCCUUAGGGUUGUAAAGCUCUUUUACCCGGGAUGAUAAUGACAGUACCGGGAGAAUAAGCGCCGGCUAACUCCGUG
rnacentral:rRNA from 1 species